AUAAUUGGCUAUACAUUUUAAUAUUUAACUCUAUUUGUUGUUAUAUCCUCUUUUUUGUUUUUUUUUUAUUCUAUUUUUGUAAAAUGUUUUAGUUUUUGAUGUAUUUUGGGGAUGUAUAAAAUUUGGUGUUUGAACUGGAUUAGUACCCAGGUAAUCAAAGUUUAUUAAUUCGGGAGUAAAGUUUGGUUUAAACCGAAAAAAUAUUGACUGACUUUGGAUUUUUCUUUGGAAUAUGUGAUUUUUGGAUAGUCCUCCUUAUUAGUUAAUUUUGUUGGCGCAAGUAUGAUUGUUUAGUUUUUAUUUUAUUUGUAAUGCUUAUUUAUGAUUUUUAUUUUAAAACAGAUAUAUAUUUGGCUUAUGGGUUGAUGUUUCAUGUGUUACUAUUAUUAAUUUUUUUUUGGAUUUUUUAUUAAUGUUUUUUUGAAAUUGGAAAAAAAAGUAAUUGAUUUUUUAUAUUUGGAUGAAUUUAAUAAACAAGGGGGUACAAACUC
rnacentral:rRNA from 1 species